AGAGAGCAGAGAGCACCAUUUAAUUCACAGAAGCAUCUCUUUACAGAGCUGCAAAGAUCCCACAGUUUUGGUUAUUAAACCAAAUUGGCUACUGCCCAAUUUGUUGAUUUGGGGAUUAUAGCGAACUCUGAAACUCAGGUGCACCUACACCAACCCACCAACCAGAACUAUCUCACCUAAUACAGAGUUUUGCUAUUGUUGACCAGUCUGGAGUACAGUGGCACAACCUCGACUGACUGCAACCUCAGCCUUCUGGUUUCAAGCAAUUCUCCUGCUUCAGCCUCCCAAGUAGCUGGGAUUACAGGCACCCACUGACAUGCCAGAAAAUUAAAGCAACAGAAGAAUCUUCCGGUUUUCCAUCAUGACAAAUACCUGUCUCCAAGCAUCUGGAGCCACACACUCCUGCCCAUACUCGUGUCUAGAAGGCUCACUGGUGGAAAGGACAUUCCUUCAUCUCAGAUGAUACUUCGGACUGUGGGUUUUGAGUUGAUGCUGAAAUAAGUUAAGACUGAGGGACUGGUGAGAAGGAAUAAUUGUAUUUUGUAAGAUGCUUCCUGACCUGGAACAUAGAACUCCAAGUUCUUCACCUUUGAGAUUCUUGGGCAUUCUGCCACAGACUGAAGGCUGCACUGUCGGCUUCCCUAUUUUUGAAAAUUUGGAACUGGGACUGACUUCCUUACUCCUCAUCUUGAAGAUGGUCUACUGUGGGACGUCACCUUGUGAUCACGACAUGAACUUGGGACCCACCGAACAGCAGGUGCAAAAAGGGCUGUAACACCUUCCUGAAUGGAUCACCAAGCUGCAGGUAAGACUGAAAGGAGCUGUAACAUGUUCCCGGUGAGCUCUCCAAGCUCCCAUUUGCCAAACGUCUCGGGGCCCAGACCCCGGGAAUCCCGGAGUCAGAACUGUAAUACUAUAUCCCUCCUUCCCUCCUCCAAUGUCAGGUGGAAAUGACAUUGGAGCCAUUCUACAGUGUAUUAAAUGGUAUCAUAUCAAUGAUUUAGUUUGUAUGUCCCUAUUGAGUAAAGAUGUUGAGUAU